rnacentral:rRNA from 1 species
AGUGAACGCUGGCGGUAGGCCUAACACAUGCAAGUCGAACGGCAGCACAGUAAGAGCUUGCUCUUACGGGUGGCGAGUGGCGGACGGGUGAGGAAUACAUCGGAAUCUACUUUUUCGUGGGGGCUAACGUAGGGAAACUUACGCUAAUACCGCAUACGACCUACUUGUGAAAGCAGGGGAUCUUCGGACCUUGCGCGAUUGAAUGAGCCGAUGUCGGAUUAGCUAGUUGGCGGGGUAAAGGCCCACCAAGGCGACGAUCCGUAGCUGGUCUGAGAGGAUGAUCAGACACACUGGAACUGAGACACGGUACAGACUCCGACGGGGGGAAGCAGUGGGGAAUAUUGGACAAUGGGCGAAAGCCUGAUCCAGGCAUACCGCGUGGGUGAAGAAGGACUUCGGGUUGUAAAGCCAUUUUGUUGGGAAAGAAAAGCAGCAGGUUAAUACCCCGCUGUUAUGACGGUACCCAAAGAAUAAGCACCGGCUAACUUCGUG